UUUUAUUUAUUUAUUUGAGAGAAAGAGCAUGAGCAGGGGACGGUUAACAGAGGGGGAGAAGGAAGGAGUCCCUGCUCAGCAGGGAUGGGGCUCUAUCCCAGGACCUGGAGAUCAUGACCUGAGCCAAAGGCAGAUGCUUACUGACUGAGCCACCCAGACACCCCCUCAAUAACCAGUUCUCAGAGAUAUUAUAUUGUUGCAUUAGACUUUCACCUAAAACUUACAUUUUUUUGAGUUAAAAUAGACAUGUAACAUUAUAUUAGUUUCAGGUAUAUAUAGCAUGAUUUAGUAUUUGUAUAUAUUGCAAAAUGAUGACCACAGUUAAGUCUAGUUAAUAACCAUCAUCAUACAUAGUUUCAUUUUUUCUUGUGAUAAGAACUUAUAGACUUACUUUCUUACUAACUUUCAAAUAUACAAUACAGUACAGCAUUAUUAUUACAAUACAGUAUUAGUAACCAUAGUCACCAUGCUGGACAUUACAUACCCACGAUUCAUUUGUAACUGAAAGUUUAUACUUUUUGCCUACCUUCAUACAUUUCACCUACUCCCCACCCACCAUCUCUGGCAACCACCAAUCUUUUCUCUGCCUCUGAGUCCAAUUUUGUUUUGUUUUGUUUUGUUUUGAGGGGGUGGAGAAUUAGAUUCCUCAAAAAAGUGCAAUCAUACAGUAUUGCUACUUGUCUUUCUCUGACUUUUUAGGGUAACAUCCAUCCAUGUGGUUGCAAAUAGCAAAAUCUUCUUCUUCUUUUUAAUGGCUGAAUAAUUUUCCCCUUUGUAUGUAUCACAUUAUUUAUUUUUCUUUUGAUCGUGAUGAGAACUUAAGUAUAUGAAGUUAAUGAUUCAAUGGCCAGGUCUUAAAUUAAAAUGCAUAUGCAUAUGAACAUUUGUUGUUUUAAGUGGAAGUUGUUUUCCAAAAUGUGUAAAGUUAAAAAAAAAAUGUGUAAAGUUCAUUCCUUUAGUGUUUAGUUGGUGUUGGAGAAGUACAUUAAAUUUGGAUUGUUUUGUUAAAAGUUUCUUGUUUUCUUCAGCUACCAGUAAUACGAUGUUCUCUGAUUUUUAUGUAUGCUCACUGCUGGAUUAUAACCUAAAAUAUGAGUAAAGUCUCUGAGAAUAGUCUUAAAUAUAUUAAUGUUGGUCUCACUGCUAUACCCUUUUGCAAGUUUUCUUCAGGAACUAUUUCCUAUUAUGUUAAGUCACAUCCUCCAGGAAGGUGCUAAAUUAUUCUAUUAGUUUGACUUAGCAUCUAACAUCAGGAGAAUAAAACAGACAAUGUAGGAGUUACCAUGUGAUCCAUGGUAACUACCCUUAGGUAUAUACCCAAAAAUAGAAAAUACACAUUCACCAAAACAAACACAAAAAACACUCAUAUACAAAUGUUUGUAUUUAUAACAGCCAAAAAGUAGAAGAAACCCAAAUGUCCAUAAACCGAUAAAGAAAACGUAUGCAUAUGCAUGCAAGGGUAUAUUAUGCAGCCAUAAAAAUGAGGAUUAUUUUGAUACAAGUUACAACAUGGAUGAAUCUUUAAGACAUUAGGCUAAGGGCCGCCCGGGUGGCUCAGCGGUUUAGCGCCACCUUCGGACCAGGGCCUCAUCCUGGGCACACCUGAUCAAGUCCUACAUGGGGCUCCCUGCAUGGAGCCUGCUUCUCCCUUUGCCUGUG
rnacentral:lncRNA from 1 species